CGAUGUAUGGAUGACUCUUAUACAUCAAAUGGCAAAGACACGAAUUAGGACUAUCUCAAUAAAUGAUAUAUGUCCUAAAUAGUGUAUCCAUGGACAAUGGAUUGAUUGAAGAAGUAAUCUAAUGAUGUUAGACUACAGAGACCUUCUUCACAUAACCAUUAUGUCUAAAAGGUUCCUAGUCAUUGGAUUGUCGGAGGGAAACUGACAUGCUUAGACCGGUACAUACUGUGUCCACUUCAAAUGGAAGGAUGGAAAGUCUCAUCCCAUUCGUGUUGUGACACUAAGACAAGUAUGUAAGUGCUCAUUAAGAGAAUGAGUUCACUGAACACAAUCGAACGAGAGUACUUGCAUGGAGGUCUACUCACAUGUCAAGCAAGUAACUCUAAUGGUUGGAAUAAUGUAAGUAGUCCUUUGACCUGAGGCAUCGUCGUUGUCUUGUGGCUAAGUACUUAAUCUUUGAUUAUGUCAAAGUCACCCCAUUCGCAGAUGUCCACGGCAUAAUUGGGGUUAAGCCACUUAGUCAUGAAGGCAAGUGAAUGCGCAACAAGGAAUCUCUAAUCCUCGAUAAGAGAGGAAGAAUACUCUAAGAUAUGAUUCGGGAAUCUUCGGCCGAAGUAUCUAGCGUAAUAAAGGAAAGCGUUCCUAUACGACUCAAUUGAAUCAUAUAAGAAGGAAUAAUCACAUUAGGGGU
rnacentral:lncRNA from 1 species